rnacentral:rRNA from 1 species
UAGGGAAUCUUCGGCAAUGGGGGGAACCCUGACCGAGCAACGCCGCGUGAGUGUAGAAGGUUUUCGGAUCGUAAAGCUCUGUUGUUAAGGAAGAACGAGUGUGAGAAUGGAAAGUUCAUACUGUGACGGUACUUAACCAGAAAGGGACGGCUAACUACGUGCCAGCAGCCGCGGUAAUACGUAGGUCCCGAGCGUUGUCCGGAUUUAUUGGACGUAAAGCGAGCGCAGGCGGUUAGUUAAGUCUGAAGUUAAAGGCAGUGGCUCAACCAUUGUAGGCUUUGGAAACUGUUUAACUUGAGUGCAGAAGGGGAGAGUGGAAUUCCAUGUGUAGCGGUGAUAUGCGUAGAUAUAUGGAGGAACACCGGUGGCGAAAGCGGCUCUCUGGUCUGUAACUGACGCUGAGGCUCGAAAGCGUGGGGAGCGAACAGG